rnacentral:rRNA from 1 species
UACGUAGGGGGCAAGCGUUGUCCGGAUUUAUUGGGCGUAAAGAGCGUGUAGGCGGCUAGGUAGGUCCGUUGUGAAAACUCGAGGCUCAACCUCGAGACGCCGAUGGAAACCAUCUAGCUAGAGUCCGGAAGAGGAGAGUGGAAUUCCUGGUGUAGCGGUGGAAUGCGCAGAUAUCAGGAAGAACACCAACGGCGAAGGCAGCACUCUGGGACGUGACUGACGCUGAGACGCGAAAGCGUGGGGAGCAAACAGG